CACGGGACAAGCUUACAUGCGGCUUUCCCUUUCGGGAAACCCCAAGCACUUAGCACAAACCUUGAUUACCUUACAAACCGAGGGACGAGCUCCAACGGCCUCCCUUUAUUCUAGUAGUGGUAGUACAGAGGUGGAGUAAUACAGCGGUGGAUUCUAAAGUAUGGUGGCUAAUUCUCUCUCUCUCAGGGAGUGGUGGUGGAAGUCUUCAUGAGUGGAGUAUGAGUGGAAGUGUUCGGUGGAGUAUGAGUGUGUCUUGGUGGUGCUCUAGUGGAUGUCGUAGUGUGGUCGAUUCUUCGUCUGGUGCCUCCAUUGCUUCACCCGGUACCUCGUUUUAUAGUUGCGGCAGAGGCUUCUGGAGAUGCUUCGUGCUUAAGGCUUCUGGUGCCUUCAAUUAUUCUUCUGGUGCCUUCAAUUAUUCUCCUCUUCUGUUGCCUGGACACUUGGACGGCUCUCCGCUCCUCAAUAAUUGUCCUGGGUACAGUAGAGUUGCUGUUUAUUCCUUUUGCCUUGUCCUUUAUCGCGUAGUGUCUUCUCGUGAUAUUCCGGAUGCUGCUUGGUAUGGUCUUCCACGCCCGAAUGAUUGAUGUCGCAGACUUCAAUCAGAACAUCAUGGCAUGUAGUAUUAUUCAUUCUUCCACGCCCGAAUGAUUGAUGUCGCAGACUUCAAUCAAAACUCUUGGCAUGUCGUAUUAUUCUGCCCCGGCCGAAUUGUUGUUAACACGUUAACAACACUGGAGACUUAUUCCCUUGUGACAAAAUAUUCUCUUAUUCGAGCUUUAUUUCUAUUCUUCUUCUUCAAAAUCCGGUUCCUCUGGUUGCCACAGUUCAUACCAUGCUAGUAAUUCACGAUAUUCCUUUCUUAACUGGCAUUCCAUUCCAUAAUUUGGCUUAAGUAGCCUUCCUACUUCUUUUGAUAUUAUACUAUUCCUUCCAUAAUAUUCUCGUAGAAAUAUUUUUGUUAUUUUGUUUUGAUACAUCAUAUGGUACUCAGUAUUGAAUUUAGUAUUUCCUUCUAUUUCUUUUGCUUCACUGAAAAUUCUCCAAUUAUCAUGAUUAUUUUUGGCACGUAUUUCUUCAUAAUUGUACCAUGUUUCUGAAGACCAUAUCGUAGGGAAUUUAUACGAACCUUUUAUAAUAUAAAUAUCAUGGCUUGCUGGUCUCAAUGGUAGUGUAAAUUUUGGUGGGUUAGAAAAGUAUUUUAUUUUAUAUUUUCCUUGAACACACGCCAAUCUUUUGCAUGCUUCUUUAAUAGCCUUUCCUAAAUCAGAUUGAAGUAUUUCCUCUAAUGUUCCAUAAAUAUCUCGGACUAACCCAUGAUCAAUAAUAGUUUGUAAAGAAAUAUCUUCUCCUGUAUGCCUUUGUAUAUUUGUAAAAUAUUUUAGGUUUAUAUCAGCCUUAAGUAUUAUAAAUUUAUGAUGAGGCUUAACAAUUAACUUAUCAUCAAGAUGAAGUAAAGGAAAGGUAUUUAUAGUAACUAUUAUUCCCAAAUUCCUUUCUAUACCUUGAUAUAGCCUCAUGAAGUAAUUUUGUAUAUCCUGAAAUGUUUUAUACUGUCUUUCAGCAUAUUUCUUCCAUAUUAGAUCUAUAAUAUCUUGUGUAAAAUAUACCAGCACUUGUUCAGUCUUAAAACUUAUUCUAGGGAUAAGAAACUCAUGUGGAGUAUUGACUAAAUAUUUAUUAUUUCUUUUAUCAUUUGAAGAGUCCUCUUUCGGACUGAUCUUAUUUUCCUCAUACUUAGUAUUGACUACAUUCUUGUCACUUUGCUGUUCUAAACAUGAUCCACAUGCCUGUUUUAUACAUAAACUACAAGUAGCCCUUUUUCCUGGAUCUUGAUAAUAUAUACAAAAUACACAAUUUAUAUUAACGUCAUUUCUUUUAUGAUCCCGAAUUACCUGAUCCAUCAUUUCUAUUUUUAACCCUGCUAAUUCCUCAAUCAAGUUCAUCUCUUCAUCACUCGAUUCAUCUUCUUCAUUAUAUUCAAUCUCAUCUGUUUCUAUUAUUGAAUAUAUAGAUUCAUCAUCCAUUAUAUCAUCAUCACAUACCAGAAUAUUUUCAUUAACACUAUCUAUAAUUAACACCUUUUCUUGCUCUUCUUGCUUAUUAGAAUAUCUCUUCUUAUCUUUAUUAGGACAAGUUUUACUUAAAUGAUCUGGAGAAUUACAAAUAAAGCAUCUACAUGUACUAUCAUAAUUUUUUCUGGGAUUAUAUCUUCUUACAUUUCUCUUGUGAAGAAAAGGAGCUCUAUUAUCUGAUCUUCUUAGGAAAUAUCUUUUCUUUGUCUUUACAUUUCUCUUCUUAUAAUUUUUAGGGUAUUUCUUAUUUCUAUAUUUAUCUUCUCCAUAUGUCAAUGGUAUUUGAACUAUUUUAUUACAAAAGUUGUAAUCUGAUUGCUUCAUUGACCUUUGAGCUUGUAUGCUUGUGCAUAUUUUUCUUAGUUGCUUAAAAACAAAUGUUAUAGCCUGAGAAAUAUUAUAUUCCCUUCCAUUAGAUUCCUUUUUAUAUUCUUGAAAUAUCAUAGAUCCCAAAGGAUCUGGUAGUUUAUUAAAAUAUCUUUCAACUAUACUCUUAUUAUAGCCUUGCUUAGCAGUUGUGACGUUAUACAAAUAAUGCUGAGAGAACUCUUUUAUUCCUUUCCAAUUUGUUAAAGUCAAUUUCUCUAUUUCCUUCAACCUUUCAUUUUGUAAAGCAGUAUAACCUAAUUCUGGAUCUUCAUCUAUAACAAUACUUGAUAUGAUAUUUGCAAAAUUAUAUGGGUUGCUACCCGCUCUUUUUAAUUCUUCAUAAUAAUGAGGAUAAGUUUCUAUCCAUUGUUCCCAUAGAACUUUAACAGAUUCUCCUAAGAAUGUUUCUAAAUAUGUAAUCAUAUCUUCUACUCUACUCCCAAUAUUAUGCUGAUUUUGUAUAUAUUUUGGACUAUUAAGCUUUUCCAUAUGCUUAUAAUAUUUGGCCAAUCAAUAGGAUCAUGUGCUGCUAAAUUUAAUAUUGCACCAUCACUUCUAUAAUUCUGAAAUUGCACAGUCCUUUCAAACUCUCUCCUUUUUGAACCCAUAUGCUUAUAUUGUCCAGGUAUAUAGGUAUAUGUAGGUUCUUCCUUUUCUGGUGGCCAAUUACCUGGUUUUCUAGAUGGUCUAUCCGUUUCUCCUUCAAUUUUUAUAUCUCUCUCUUGUUCUCGUCUUCUUUUAGAUGGACUUGGAUCUAUAUCCAUGGCUUCUAUAGCAGUAUCUUUAUUGUAUAAUUCUUCAUUUCUUAAAGAAAGAAUAUGUGAAUCUGACUUACUACUAUGUAUUUCAAUUAUAUCUUCAUCCUCUUCUUCAUAACUUUCUAAUAAAAUUUUAUUAUUGAUCUCCCAUUGAUCUUCUUCACUUAUAACAACCUCUUCUUUUUCCUUUACCAUUUCUUUAUUAUUCUCAAAUUCUUUCUGAAUCUUACUAUUUUUAUUACUUACAUGUUGCAAGGUAGGUUCAUGUUUUAUCAUCGGCAUGUUAAUCUUUUUAUUAUUUAGCUCUCUUUCUUUCUUAAUUUUAUUAAGUCUAUAUAAUUCUCGUCUGAAAUAUAGCUCUUUUUCUCUAAUAGCAGUCCAUUCACAUAUCAUAGAGGUAUUAUAUUCAUCUUGAACUUUACUUAGUUUUUUCUCAUAGUGUUUUAUUUCAUUAUCAAUAUCUAAUUUUUCCAUGAAUUCACAUACACUAUGUCUUCUAGCUUCUCCUAUAUUCGACUCAGAAGUUGAAACUUCUAAAUCAUCUAAACUUCUUUCUUUGUAAUUAACAAACCUGAUACUAGUUUUGCCUUUACUAUUUUCAUAGCUUACAUAAUCUUUAGGUUGUUUAAAAAUCUUUGGUUCUAUUAAAGCACUUAUAUUCCAUUCUUCACCUGCUCUUUCUUCAGAACUAAUUUUUAAAGGACUCAUGAAUUUUAUUCCCUUAGACUGCAUACUUUCUAUUACAUUGUUUACAUUUACCUUGUAUUUAGUUGCACUUCUAUUAGUUAACCUACCUACAAAUUCUAUACUUACUAAUAAAUUUGUACCUUUAAAGUCUUCAUAACCUUUGGUCUGAAACCCUAUUGCCAUUUUAUCUAUAAAUUCUUUUAUUGGCAUUAUUAAAUCUGGAGCUAUGUAUGUUAUUAACAUAUUUUCAUUCAUAUCUCCUUCUAGGAAACCCAAUGCUGCUUUAUUCACUGAAUCCCAUCUUUUAUCUAACAAUGUUAUUAGAACUUUGGUUCCUAAUUUCUUCCUAGUCAUUCCUUUAAUUCCUAUGAUAUACAUUCCUUGAUGAAUAUAUUUGUAGCCUGAAUAUUUUAACCCGUUCUCAAAUUGUUUACUAACAAUUCUUAGCUGAACUGGUUCUGUUAGAACACUUAAUUCUACUUCUCUAGAUAUUCUGUAUAGCCCAUUUUUAUUUUCAAACCAGCCCAUUUGAUAUAUUUGCUGAGGUCUUAUCUUUCUUAAGGUAUCUCUCUGAUAUCUUUCAAGAUCUCUUUCUACAUCUAUCAUUUCUUCUAAGUUUUCAAUAUCAUCACAUCCUCCUUUCAAUCUAUCCAUAAAGCUUAAAGGCUUUAUGUCUUUAUUUAUUAGUUGGAGAGACUUGUCUCUUCUAGAGAGACUUUCAAAUAUUUCCAUUUUUCAGAGUUUAAUGAUCUAUUAAACUCGACUAGUCCUGUUGAUGAUAGAACUAUUUCUUUGUUGUGCUCAAAAUUAGUAUUAUCAAAUUUCUUAUAUAAGUGAGUUAUAUCCUUUUUAAUAUAAUCACUAUUUUGAAUGAUUCUUCCUAGAGAAUUUCUACUUUCUUCUGCUGCUUGCAAGAUUAAUUCUAGCUUAUUGUUCAAGGCUAAAAUAUUCUCUUCUAGAUGCUUAUGUUCUUUCUGCAGUUUUUCAAAUUUUAAUUCUAAAUCGUCUUGCCUUUUACCCCAAGAUAUAUAGAAGUUAUGUAUUAAAUCAACUAAUAAAUUGAUCUGACCGUGUGAAGUAUGCCAAGUAUGAUCUUCAGAGCUAUUUAUUCUGCACCUUAUAUUUAUAUUUUCUUUAGUAUUAACUGUCUUUCCUGUAUUAACUUCUAGAUUUAAAUAGUGAAGUUUUUCAAUCUUGACUAAAUAUAGAAAAACCCUCAAAAACACAAAUUUCUAACAACCUCGGCUCUCAUACCAGUUGAACGCGACGAUCGAGGGCGAGCGACUCCGGAAAAUUUCGGAAUUCAAAUUUCGAGUUACUAUUCACAACACUAUUCAAAUUCGGCGAACACUAUUCAAAUUUGCGGCACUAUUUAAAUUCAGCUCACUAUUCAAAUUCGGGAAUAUGAAUAGUGCCCGAGCACUCACGGUGAGUGGGUGGAGCACCUACGGGUGGCGGCACUAUUCAGCCACUAUUCACUCACUAUUGCGCACUAUUGAGCUACUAUUCACUCACUAUUGCGCACUAUUCGGGGUCGCUUUUCGGGGGAUACGAGCACGCGCGGGUGCGUGAUUAGGUAUAUUCCUUAAUUAGGUGUAUUCUCAGGAUCUUUGCGGGUUGGUGAGACCGAAGAUUCAGCCGGUCGUGCUGCUAUGCUUGUGACAGUCCUACUCGGUACUCACCGCAUGCCUCGCUGGCUCGCUUCAGAACCAGGCCAGCCCGGACUGCACCCUCACCGUCCCCAGCCACGCUCACACAGGACUCAGGCUCUACCGUCUCCCCAGGCAGUUCCACCCGAAGGGAACACUUCUCUGCGCACACAGGGUUCUCCUCAAACGCCGCUACAGGGGCUAACACGAGAACGACACACGCAGAGGUUUCUCCUCUAGGGUCCCUAGCGUAGAGACAUCGCCCCAUAAGAACGAGCUUAAAGGAAGGCAGGGAUGCUGCCAGGACAGCUUAAUCCAUUUCCACGGGACAAGCUUACACGCGGCUUUCCCUUUCGGGAAAUCCCAAGCACUUAGCACAAACCUUGAUUACCUUACAAAUCGAGGGACGAGCUCCAACGGCCUCCCUUUAUUCUAGUGGUGGUAGUACAGAGGUGGAGUAAUACAGCGGUGGAUUCUAAAGUAUGGUGGCCAAUUCUCUCUCUCUCAGGGAGAGGUGGUGGAAGUCUUCAUGAGUGGAGUAUGAGUGGAGGUCUUCGGUGGAGUAUGAGUGUGUCUUGGUGGUGCUCUGGUGGAUGUCGUAGUGUGGUCGAUUCUUCGUCUGGUGCCUCCAUUGCUUCACCCGAUACCUCGUUUUAUAGUCGCGGUAGAGGCUUCUGGAGAUGCUUCGUGCUUAAGGCUUCUGGUGCCUUCAAUUAUUCUUCUGGUGCCUUCAAUUAUUCUCCUCUUCUGUUGCCUGGACACUUGGACGGCUCUCCGCUCCUCAAUAAUUGUCCUGGGUACAGUAGAGUUGCUGUUUAUUCCUUUUGCCUUGUCCUUUAUUGCGUAUGAGUGUGUCUUGGUACCAGUACGACAAUAAACGAGAUCAAGAUACCUGUAAAGGUAAAAUUAACACCUACCAUCGCUUAUAAAAUAUUAGCACUAGUAGAUACUGGUUGUACAAAAAAUAUUAUUCAUGAUAAAUAUUUUGCAAGAUGCCCAGAGAUAGUGCCCGAGCACUCACCGGGAGUGGGUGGAGCACCUAUGGGUGGCGGCACUAUUCAGCCACUAUUCACUCACUAUUGCGCACUAUUGAGCUACUAUUCGGGGUCGCUUUCAGGGGAUACGAGCACGCGCGGGUGCGUGAUUAGGUAUAUUCCUUAAUUAAGUCUAUUCUCAGGAUCUUUGCGGGUUGGCAAGACCGAAGAUUCAGCCGGUCGUGCUGCUAUGCUUGUGACAGUCCUACUCGGUACUCACCGCAUGCCUCGCUGGCUCGCUUCAGAACCAGGCCAGCCCGGACUGCACCCUCACCGUCCCCAGCCAUGCUCAAACAGGACUCAGGCUCUACCGUCUUCCCAGGCAGUUCCACCCGAAGGGAACACUUCUCUACGCAGACAGGGUUCUCCUCAAACGCCGCUACCAGGGCUAACACGAGAACGACACACGCAGAGGUUUCUCCUCUAGGGUCCCUAGUGUAGAGACAUCGCCCCAUACGAACGAGCUUAAAGGAAGGCAGGGAUGCUGCCAGGACAGCUUAAUCCAUUUCCACGGGACAAGCUUACAUGCGUCUUUCCCUUUUGGGAAACCCCAAGCACUUAGCACAAACCUUGAUUACCUUACAAACCGAGGGACGAGCUCCAACGGCCUCCCUUUAUUCUAGUAGUGGUAGUACAGAGGUGGAGUAAUACAGCGGUAGUGGGUGAUUCUAAAGUAUGGUGGCUAAUUCUUUUUCUCUCAGAGAGUGGUGGUGGAGGUCUUC
rnacentral:lncRNA from 1 species